CAUUGUUCAUUGCUCCCGAAGAUUCAUACUGAUGGACACUGCACGGAAAGCUGUGCCGGUUCAUGCCUUGCCCCGACUGGUUAUAGGAGUACGAGGGAUCCUUGGAAUGGGAAGACAGAAAGGAGAAAGGAAGGAAGCAGAACUGUUUCCCUGACAGAAAACUACUUACCUGUGAAGCAGGAUAUCCUGGAACCUGACCCCUGAGAGGAGGCGCUUCUGUUUGACAGUCCUGCUGGGAAUAUAUCCAACGGGAGACUGGAGUUGGGCUGUUACCAGGUGAACGUCUAGUGGAGGUUGGCCUCUGCUGCAAACGUACUCCACCAGAUCAUCAGGCAAGUCAAGAAGCAUCUCCAUCUUCACCCAAGCAGGAGGCACUGGAACAGCUCCGUAUGUACUGUACAGUCCAGAUGUCAAUGGGGACAGGAAGAACAACCCAGGACCUUGGAACAAACUGGGUCUCCAUAAAUAUAAAGUCUCAUCAGUGCCACUGGACUACAGCAAACUGAAGGCCCAUGAAGCUCACCAUAAGACUGCUUAUAUCAGGAAGGUCUUUCAGAGGCCAUCUGUACAGUUUCUCACUUAACCAAGAAAUACUUUUCUGAAUCUCUGAAAUCAUGCUCUUUUUGUUUGUUUGUUUUAUCACAUUGAUGAAUAAAUCUCUGAAACUUGA